CUGUCCUGAUUCAAAGCAGCUUAUAAACUUUGCAGUAAAACAGAACUUUUAUAGGACCAUCCUUCAAAUAAACAGAGUAAAUUUUUUUUUCAGUUAAAGAAAAUUGUGUGACUUUUACAUCAGGAAGCAAAAUGCAUAUAAAGAAGUUCCCUAAUUCAGUAUGUCAAAUUCACUAUUCUUCUGUGACAAUGGCCUGACAGAUAAUGGUCUGCCUGUCAGUCACAGUGAUAGCUGAAUAUUAUUGCCAUCUUACAACUUUGCAUUCCCAUAGGCACUGUACAACAAAGAGCAGAAAGACAAUCUGGAAUAUAUGCUCUUCAGGUCUGUCCAUAAAAUAAAAAGAAGAAAGAGACAAGCAGAAAGCUUAAGACUGAAAGUCAAAAGAGAAGUUACAGACACAGCAAAACAACAACAUAAAAGAUAAGUGAACAGAGACCUCCCAUAGCAUGCUUUUAUUUCCUGCUGGGGUAUAAACAAAGCUCAUCCACAAUGGAAAGAGGAAAAUGUGUGCUUUAGCCAAAGAUGCCAUGGGAAAGAUCAUUCCUACUGGGUAGCCGUUCUGAAAGAUGCUAGAAUACACUGCGUACUUUCAGAAAAAGAAAAAAAGGAAGAACGAAACGGACUGUGGUGGGCGGUUAACAGAAAACUCGUUAUAUAAACGGAAUCUGAAUUUGGUCUCAAGCUGACACUUCGAGAAGAGGAUUUACCAGCGCCAGACUGCUGGAUUUCGUUCAGGAGUGCUUAUUUGGGGGAAAGCAUUCCUUCCCUAAUCACACCUGUCUCAGGGAACCGUGGUUGGCAGGACCUCAGGAGAUCAUCCAGUCCAACCCCCUGCCCAGGCAGGACCACCCUGAGCCAGCUGCCCAAAACCAAGGCCGGGUGAGUUUUGGGUAUCUCCAAGGAUGCAGAAUUCAUGACCUCCCUGAGCAAACUGCUCGGGUGUUUGACCACUCUGACCAUGAAAAUGUGUUUCCUUAUGUUCACGUGGAUUUUCUUGUCCUUCAGUUUGUGCCCAUGGACUCAUCCUUUCCCAGGGAACCACUGAGUUUCCUCUCAUCUUCUUUAUCCCCUUCCAUCAGGUAUUUAUGGAUUAAGGAUCCUUCCAACCCUUCUCUUCUACAGGCUGAACAGUCCCAGCUUUCUAAGCCUCUGCUCAUAGUAGCCUGCUGUCUGAGGCACCCAUGUCUUACACUGCUUUUCUCUCUCAAAGUCUACCAAACAAUAAGAGUAAAUGCCAAUAAAUCUGUGACUAUUAAACAGAGUUAAACUUGACAAUUAGAAAUGUUUUCAUUGUGUAUCUGUUCUGUAAAUCACAAUAUGAAGAUCUUACAAAGCUGUGGAGUUGCUGUGUCUGAAGCAGCUGUUGGUAGCUGACAGUCCAGUUCACCUCAAGGUUGUUCAUUCAACACACUGUCAUGUCUGUAGUCAGAGAACCAUUACUGUUGAAUAGAUUUGGUCUGGUUCCACUACAAAGGAUGACUUUAUGGGAUAUGUGCUUUGUAAAAGCUUAAGGUAAAAGAACACUGGAGCUAAUUUGUACCACUGAGGAAAUACAGAAUAUUGAUACAAAAUCUAUAUUUUGAAAGGAUGAAACCUAUUCAGUUAAACACAUUGUUCUUCAAGUGUAGCACCAGGUCUCAUAUGUCUUUAACCAGAAUUAACAACGUGAAGCUGCAUUUAGCUUGUUCUGUCCUCAAAAAUACUGCCUUUAGUCCAGGAAACUAUGUGAAUUAUUUUUUUGUUGACCAGAUAACUCAUACAAUUUGAACAAUUUCUACUGUUUUAUUAAAGCUGUGUUCUGCUUUUCAAUGAGUUGCGGAAAACUCAACAGAAAUUGAAAAAAAAAUCAAUAUUUUUCAUGUAAUAGUUUGCUCAUAGUCAGGAUAACCUCCUCCCAGAUACAAAACUCCAUGUCUUCAGGACCUCACAUUUCAAAAAAACUAACUAUAACCAAGCAAAACUUUUUGGGGUUUCACCAGUUACUUGUGACUUCAACGUAUUAAGGAUGUAUUUGGCUUUAAGUAUUGCCCUUAUUUCCUCCCAUAAACAAAUCUGGCUAUCUAGACUGUAACACAGAGCCUCAGCUAUACUGGUACUAUUAUAGUUUGUGUUCUUAUCUUAUGUAUAUACACUUGAGAAGGAAAGCAAACACACCUGUGUCCCUGUCUAAGAUCGGGACAUGUUUUUCCCCAGCAUGCUUGCACAUUUAAAAUUAAAAUAUUUUAUUGGACCUUUUGUUUGUGAUAUAAAGAGGUGGUUUGGAAAAAGUGGGGCUUCCCUGGAAAUUAUGUUCUGCAUAGAUGUCCUGAUUUUCAAUGUGUUUCAGUAUGUUUCUCCCAGAAGUAAAAUCUUCUGUUCCCUUUAUAUUCUACAU